rnacentral:rRNA from 1 species
AUUGAACGCUGGCGGCAGGCCUAACACAUGCAAGUCGAGCGAGUGGCGGACGGGUGAGUAAUGUCUGGGAAACUGCCUGAUGGAGGGGGAUAACUACUGGAAACGGUAGCUAAUACCGCAUACCAUCAGAUGUGCCCAGAUGGGAUUAGCUAGUAGGUGGGGUAAAGGCUCACCAAGGCGACGAUCCCUAGCUGGUCUGAGAGGAUGACCAGCCACACUGGAACUGAGACACGGUCCAGACUCCUACGGGAGGCAGCAGUGGGGAAUAUUGCACAAUGGGCGCAAGCCUGACGCAGCCAUGCCGCGUGUGUGAAGAAGGCCUUCGGGUUGUAAAGCACUUUCAGCGGGGAGGCGUUACCCGCAGAAGAAGCACCGGCUAACUCCGUGCCAGCAGCCGCGGUAAUUC